AUGCGAUAAGUAAUGUGAAUUGCAGAAUUCAGUGAAUCAUCGAAUCUUUGAACGCACCUUGCGCUCCUUGGUAUUCCUUGGAGCAUGCCUGUUUGAGUAUCAUGAAAUCUUCAAAGUAAUAUCUUUUGUUAAUUCAAUUGGUUUUGCUUUGGUAUUGGAGGUCUAUUGCAGCUUCACACCUGCUCCUCUUUGUUCAUUAGCUGGAUCUCAGUGUUAUGCUUGGUUCCACUCAGCGUGAUAAGUUAUCUAUCGCUGAGGACACUUUUUCAUACUCUGUAAAAAGAGUUUGGAGGGUGGCCAAGGUAAAUGCAGAUGAACCGCUUCUAAUAGUCCAUUGACUUGGACAAUAAAUAUUUAUGAUCUGAUCUCAAAUCAGGUAGGACUACCCGCUGAACUUAA
rnacentral:misc_RNA from 1 species